UUUUACUACGGUCCUGGGUAGGGAUUUCCUGGGAGUCUUACACUCCCGGGUAAGGGAGUGUGGCGGACGGCUGAGUAACACGUGGCUAACCUACCCUCGGGACGGGGAUAACCCCGGGAAACUGGGGAUAAUCCCCGAUAGGGAAGGAGUCCUGGAAUGGUUCCUUCCCUAAAGGGCUAUAGGCUAUUUCCCGUUUGUAGCCGCCCGAGGAUGGGGCUACGGCCCAUCAGGCUGUCGGUGGGGUAAAGGCCCACCGAACCUAUAACGGGUAGGGGCCGUGGAAGCGGGAGCCUCCAGUUGGGCACUGAGACAAGGGCCCAGGCCCUACGGGGCGCACCAGGCGCGAAACGUCCCCAAUGCGCGAAAGCGUGAGGGCGCUACCCCGAGUGCCUCCGCAAGGAGGCUUUUCCCGCUCUAAAAGGCGGGGGAAUAAGCGGGGGGCAAGUCUGGUGUAACCCGCCGCGGUAAUCCAGCUUCGCGAGUGGUCGGGGUGAUACUGGCCUAAACCCUGUAGCCGNCCACAAGUCGNCCUUAAAGUCCCGGUUAACGGGAACUGGGGCAUCUGUGGCUAGGGCGGANAGCGGGGUCUCCGANAGGCAAAUCUAAUCCGAGCNCAUGCGACCCCUUAACCCACGUAAGNAACCGGANAAGGUUACCGGNCCGUUAAAAGNUGUANGGUANCUGCCGACUACCNGGGAGNAAAAAAAGGGG
rnacentral:rRNA from 1 species